GACACAAACAAAACAAAACGAAAAGGUGGCGCUGAGAAGCUCAGGGACCAAAAGAGAAAAUCCUUUCAUGACCAGCAAAUUAAAUAUAACCCACAUGUGGACAGAGAAGUGAAUCCCAGACUUGUUACGGCCGGCAUGUGUUCCAGAGGGGACCCGGAGAG